UAGGGAAUCUUCGGCAAUGGGGGCAACCCUGACCGAGCAACGCCGCGUGAGUGAAGAAGGUUUUCGGAUCGUAAAGCUCUGUUGUAAGAGAAGAACGUGGGAGAGAGUGGAAAGUUCACACAGUGACGGUAACUUACCAGAAAGGGACGGCUAACUACGUGCCAGCAGCCGCGGUAAUACGUAGGUACCGAGCGUUGUCCGGAUUUAUUGGGCGUAAAGCGAGCGCAGGCGGUUUAAUAAGUCUGAAGUUAAAGGCAGUGGCUUAACCAGUUUUCGCUGUGUAAACUGUUAAACUUGAGUGCAGAAGGGGAGAGUGGAAUUCCAUGUGUAGCGGUGAAAUGCGUAGUUAUAUGGAGGAACACCGGUGGCGAAAGCGGCUCUCUGGUCUGUAACUGACGCUGAGGCGCGAAAGCGUGGGGGGCAAACAGG
rnacentral:rRNA from 1 species